rnacentral:rRNA from 1 species
UACGAAGGGGGCUAGCGUUGUUCGGAAUUUACUGGGCGUAAAGCGCACGUAGGCGGAUAUUUAAGUCAGGGGUGAAAUCCCAGAGCUCAACUCUGGAACUGCCUUUGAUACUGGGUAUCUUGAGUAUGGAAGAGGUAAGUGGAAUUCCGAGUGUAGAGGUGAAAUUCGUAGAUAUUCGGAGGAACACCGGUGGCGAAGGCGGGUCUCUGGGCCGA